AGGGGCUUGGUUCAAUGGUAGAGCAUCGGUCUCCAAAACCGUUGAUGCGGGUUCGAUUCCUGCAGCCCCUGCCA
rnacentral:tRNA from 5 species